rnacentral:rRNA from 1 species
GACGAACGCUGGCGGCGUGCUUAACACAUGCAAGUCGAGCGGCAGCGGGAAAGUAGCUUGCUACUUUUGCCGGCGAGCGGCGGACGGGUGAGUAAUGCCUGGGGAUCUGCCCAGUCGAGGGGGAUAACUACUGGAAACGGUAGCUAAUACCGCAUACGCCCUACGGGGGAAAGCAGGGGACCUUCGGGCCCUGCACGAUUGGAUGAACCCAGGUGGGAUUAGCUAGUUGGUGAGGUAACGGCUCACCAAGGCGACGAUCCCUAGUUGGUCUGAGAGGAUGAUCAGCCACACUGGAACUGAGACACGGUCCAGACUCCUACGGGAGGCAGCAGUGGGGAAUAUUGCACAAUGGGGGAAACCCUGAUGCAGCCAUGCCGCGUGUGUGAAGAAGGCCUUCGGGUUGUAAAGCACUUUCAGCGAGGGGGAAAGGUCAGUAGCUAAUAUCUGCUGGCUGUGACGUUACUCGCAGAAGAAGCACCGGCUAACUCCGUGCCAGCCGCCGCUGUAA